GAUGAACGCUGGCGGAGUGCCUAACACAUGCAAGUCGAGCGGCAGCGCGAGUAGUUUACUACUUGGCGGCGAGCGGCGGACGGCUGAGUAACGCGUGGGAACAUGCCCCAAAGUGAGGAAUAACUGCCCGAAAGGGUAGCUAAUGCCGCAUACGAUCUUCGGAUUAAAGGAUUUAUCCGCUUUGGGAGUGGCCUGCGUACGAUUAGAUAGUUGGUGAGGUAAUGGCUCACCAAGUCUACGAUCGUUAACUGGUUUGAGAGGAUGAUCAGCCAGACUGGAACUGAGACACGGUCCAGACUCCUACGGGAGGCAGCAGUGAGGAAUCUUCCACAAUGGACGAAAGUCUGAUGGAGCAACUCCGCGUGCAGGAUGAAGGCCUUCGGGUCGUAAACUGCUUUAUGAGUGAAGAAUAUGACGGUAACUCAUGAAUAAGGGUACGGCUAACUACGU
rnacentral:rRNA from 1 species